rnacentral:sRNA from 1 species
UGCGGCCUUUGCCUCUGGCUGCAGCCAGAGAUCCAGGUCUGGUUCUUACUAGUCCUAAAGGCCCAGGCUCUGUGGCCCUGUGUUCUGCAGGUAUUGGGAGAUCCACAGCUAAGACACCGGGACCUCCUGGAAGCCAAAAAUGGUAUUACUGUUUCUAAGCCAGACCUGAUCACCUGUCUAGAGCAAGGAAAAAAACCUUUGACUAUGAAGAGAAAUGAGAUGAUUGCCAACCCCCCAGCAUUAGCUUUUUAUGAAAGAUUUAUACUUUAUUUUCAGUAUGUUGUUUAUUGCUUAGAAGUGGCUGCCUGCCAGAAAACUGCUAUUCUCAGCUAUACCCACAUUGACUAAUAGUAAGUGGAAGUGAAGUGGGUAAAAAGCAAAUGUGUCUUCUCUGUAUCUUUUUUCACCCUUUGGCUGGAGAACAGAGGGAUGCAGAAGAUGAAAGAAUUGAAGAAGCUCCCUUAACCAGACCAAAAACCCAGUAGGGGGAUUUUUUUUUCUCUUAUUAUUGUAUUCUCUGCUUCUAUGAGUUUAAUUUUUUUUUUCUUUUUUUGGAGAUGGAGUCUCACUCUGUUGACCAGGCUGGAGUGCAGUGGCCUGAUCUUGGCUCACUGUUACCUCCAACUCCUGGGUUCAAGCAAUUCUCUUGCCUCAGCCUCCUGAGUAGCUCGGAUUACAGGUGCAUACCACCACACCUGGCUAAUUUUUGUAUUUUUAGUAGAGACAGGGUUUCACCAUGUUGGUCAGGCUGGUCUCAAACACCUGACCUUGUGAUUUGCCCACUUUGGCCUCCCAAAGUGCUGAGAUUACAUGCGUGAGCCACUGUGCCUGAGGGAGUCUCAUUCUGUCACUCAAGCUGGAGUGCAGUGCAGCGAUCUUGGCUCACUGCAACAUCUACCUCCCGAGUUCAAGUGAUUCUAGUGCCUCAACCUCCCAAGUAGCUGAGAUUACAGGUGUGCACAACACUUGACUAAUUUUUGUAUUUUUAGUAGAGGCAGGCUUUCACCAUGUUGACCAGGCUGAUUUGUUUGUAUAUUUCUUUCUUCCUUUCCUUUUUUAUUUCUAGAAGCAUUUUAAUUUUAAAAUAUAAAUUAUGAAAGUUAAAAACCUCCAUUUCUCUGUCUUUGAUUACUAUUAUGGCUGAUGAAAAAAU